rnacentral:rRNA from 1 species
CCAAUAGCGUAUAUUAAAGUUGUUGCAGUUAAAAAGCUCGUAGUUGAAUUUCGGGAUUUGCACAUCGGUCGUGCCUUAAGGGGUAUGAACUGGUGUAGUGAAUUUCUCACCUUCUGGAGAACCGUGAUGUCCUUAAUUGGGUGCCACGAGGAACCAGGACCUUUACUUUGAAAAAAUUAGAGUGUUUAAAGCAGGCAUUUUUGCUUGAAUACAUUAGCAUGGAAUAAUAAAAUAGGACGGCAUGAUUCUAUUUUGUUGGUUUCUAGGAUCACCGUAAUGAUUAAUAGGGAUAGUUGGGGGCAUUAGUAUUCAAUUGUCAGAGGUUAAAUUCUUGGAUUUAUUGAAGACUAACUACUGCGAAAGCAUUUGCCAAGGAUGUUUUCAUUAAUCAAGAACGAAAGUUAGGGGAUCGAAGACGAUCAGAUACCGUCGUAGUCUUAACCAUAAACUAUGCCGACUAGGAAUCAGACGAUGUUAAUUUUUUAAUGACUCGUUUGGCACCUUACG